GUUAACUUGAGUAUGGUAAUGUGUGUUUUAACUUUAAAGUAAUUCAUUAAAUUAGCCUUUAGGUAGAAACAAAGUGGCGUAGAAAAAUUAUUUCAGCAACUCAGGGAUAUACUAUUAUUGCUAAAGUAAUGCCACCAAAUUUACGGAAGCCAUGUGCACAUUGUAUUUUGUGUGUUAAACUUUUCAAGUGGUUUCCAGUUGUUUUCAUUACUGCCAUUAUCGCUUGGUCGUACUACGCCUACGUGAUUCAGUUAUGUUUCCUUACAGUUGACAGUAUAGCAGAGAAGGUGGUGUACUUAUUUCUGUAUCAUAUCUUUCUUGCUAUGUUGGUGUGGUCUUAUUGGCAGACUAUUUUUACAGAUAUAUACACUGUUCCAAAAGAGUUUCAAAUUCCAUCUUCUGAUAUGGAAAAACUCUUAAAAGAAUCCAAUGAGGAAUGUCAACGUAUCAUUUUAGAAAAUGUUUCCAAAGACUUGCAUGUACCUGUAGCUUGUCGAACUUUCAGUGGUUGUGUUAGAUUUUGUGAUAAAUGUCACCAUAUUAAACCUGAUAGAGCACAUCAUUGUUCAGUGUGUGGAGUGUGUGUUUUGAAAAUGGAUCAUCACUGUCCAUGGGUGAACAACUGUGUAUCAUUUUCAAACUACAAGUUUUUCAUCCUUUUCUUAGGAUAUGCUUUGAUUUACUGUGUAUUUAUUGCUGCUACUUCAUUGCAAUACUUUAUCCAGUUCUGGAAGAACAAUUUGGAAGGAUUUGGGAGAUUCCAUAUAUUAUUCCUGUUUUUUGUUGCUAUUAUGUUUGCUAUUAGCUUGAUCUCAUUAUUUGGUUAUCACUGCUACUUAGUGAGUGUGAAUAGGUCAACAUUAGAAUCUUUUAGGGCUCCGGUAUUCAGAACAGGACCUGAUAAGGAUGGAUUCAGUUUAGGAAAAUAUGCCAACUUUGCUGAAAUAUUUGGAGAUGAUAAAAGGAAGUGGUUUCUUCCACUAUUUACAAGCUUGGGAGAUGGUGUAAACUUUCCAACUCAUACUCAGCCAGGUAGUUCUUACAAUUCAAUGGGUUCCACAACUCAAACAAGGUAUUAUAUUUAUUCUUGCUAUCAGCUUAGGGGAACAAGCUAAUUCUUACAAGACAGCCAAUGAAGACUCAAAUGGUCUUUUGACUCAACAACAUCCUGGCUGGGGUGAUCAAACAUUGCGAGGAGACUCAACGGCUUCUCAAGAUGAAGUAUCUGUUCUUACUCCUUUUGACCCAUCACUUGAUCAUCAGCUGAAUCAUCCAGUUUAAGAUGACGUAAAUACUUUUCAUCGUGGAACAACUAGUAAUCACUGCAAUUUGUUGCUAAAAGUAUAAUAUUACUGAUUUUUUAAAUAUAUAUCUGUAUGUUAUUUCUUUGUUGAUUGCUUUAUUUUCUUGUGUGAAAAAGUGUUUGUAAAAGUUUCUUGUACUUUUUCCUGUAUGUAUAUAUGUGUUACGAACUUAGAACUGUUGUACAGAUCAACACUUUUAAUAUUUUUUGACAAGUUGCAAUGACUUGAUGAUUGAAAAUAUCAUUAAUUAGUUUAAAAUUCCUAUACUGAUGAAUCAUUGAGGCCUGUUAGAUCUAACAAAAGUGAUGAAAUCACACUUCUUUGCAGAUGUUUUAUUUCUUCACAUUCAUCCCAUUUGAUUUUUACACACCUUUGAAGAGAAAGCUGUAAAGAACUAAUUAAGAAGGAUGUGAAGAAAAAACAUCUGUAGUUAAACACGAACUUGCCCAAGUGUGGCCUAGGAUUAAUGAGUCAGAUUGGUUUUUCAAUGAUUUCAGAUUCAAAACUUGCUACUAAGUAUGCUUUCCAUUUUCAUCUGUGGAUGUGUUAUGGGAGUGAACCAAUCCCACUACUUGAUUAAGAGUAGAUAUUUCAGGCAAUGGGUGCUGCAGACUGGUUACUUUCCUUGUGGUCUGCAGUUCAAAACUAUGCACAAUUGCAGAUGAACCAUAAAGGUCUCUGAACUUGUCAUUUAUACAGUUGUGUAUCAUUUAGACAAAACAAUAAUAAUAAUAAUUUUAUUAUUUUUGUUAGGCCCAGAAUGUCAUAAUGCUUCACCAAAUCAUAUGUUUUACAGCACUGCAUUGAAUAUCUUACCAGCAUAGAAAUGGUAUUUCAGAUAUGCUUUUGGCUGUCUGAAGUCUGUCCUAGCUGAUGUGUUCUGGUAUUAGAUAAAAUGAAUUGUGAUUUGUGAUAGACAAAAUGUUAGUCUAAAGUGCUAUUAUUACUUAACUUUAAUUAGACAGAUAUAAAGAAUUGAUUAAGAGGAAUGUGAAAAAGAAAAUCUCCAUAAGUGUGAUAAUGUUAUUAGGUUAAGUUAGUAAUUUGAAACUUACUAAGUUUCUCAAGAUAAGGUAAAAAGAGUGGCUGUGGGUAUUUAAUAAUAUGUGACAUAUAUUAGUUCAGUAAAAUGUACAUUGCCAUUUGAUAUCUUCUUCCUCAGUUUCAGGUGAGAAAGGAAACUUUUAAAAGACUUGGCUAUCUUCACAAUAUAUUUUUGGCAUAGUUCAGGGCUACUAACAUAUGUGUCCCCUUAGUAGAUCAACAGUAAAAUUAUGGACUUCCAAUGGUAAAAUCCAGGAUUCGAUUCUCUGCAGUGGACAGAGUGCAGGUACCCCAUUUUGUAGCUUUAUGCUGAAAGUACAUUAACUAGGUAUACAUUGAAACUGGUUUAAUUUAAAGAAUGUAAUAACACUUUUUAAACUUUUUUAUCUCACCAGAAAUUGCUAAAGGAGACAUUAAAUUAUCCUGCAAAUAGUGAUGUCAUGUUUAGAUUACUGAGUAAUUAAAUGUAAUAGUUUUGCUGCCUACUGUCUAAGUCCCUAUAGUUUAGUAAUGUGCCAAGUGGUAAGAAGACACAUUAAAAUAGUUCAGCAUUUUUCACUUCCUUUAGUAUCUUCUCAGUUGAUUGUAUAUAAAUAGUAUUAGUUUUGAGUCAACAUUAAGUUUAAUUUCAAAUUUUGGUAAAAAUUGUUACAGCUAAAGUGCAGACUUGUAGUUAGUUAUAUUUGAUUUCAGACUUCUCCAAGAUCUUUUCAUAAUUAAUUCUAAAAUACCCCAAACAUUUUUGGUAUAAAUUUGUUUGCACUUUUUAAUAAAACGUAUUUUAUCAAGACUUUUAACUCUCUAUUUUCGAGAAGCAUAAUUUUUUUUUAUUUCUCUGUUGUCUUCUUAUAAUGUUAUCAGAAUCAUCCCUUGGAACAUGAGUUCUGAAAUCUCAUUUUAUCAAACCUGCUAGAGGAACAUGAGUUUUGUACUGUAUGUGUACUUUUUAAUGAAAUCUCUUUACCAUAUUAAACCUAUUAUAUCAAUUUAGAUGUAUAAAGACAUUGGUGACAAAGCUUUAAAUCUGGUAAGGUUUUUAGAACACCACCUUAAGAAUGCCAUAUAAAGACUGUUUAGAAUGGUUUUGGAACUUCAUUUGUUAUUGAAACAGUCAUUUUCCAGAAAUAUGUUACAUUAGCAGUAGCAGUAUAUUAACCCCAAUCUUUGUUGUUGUAGGUUAUUUUCAAUAAGAUUUGUACAGCAUACAGUAGCUUAUCAAGUCAGAUAAGCCAUAGUACUCAAAUUCCCUAUGAAAAUGCUCUUUAAAACUAUAAAGAAUAUGAAAUUGUAGGCAUGUAAUGCAACAGAUUUAACAAAAAGGGAUUCAAAUGUUGUUCCUAUACUUAAUGGAAAAACCCAUAUGAAGUAUAACAAUUAUUAACAGUCUUAUUGGGAUCCUCUAGGACACUUGUCAUCUGUUUAUGAAUUCAUGGGACUAUUACAGGUUUUGACAGGUAAAAAUAACACUAAGUUUGUUGCGCUAGGUAAUAGAAGAUGCUUAUAGAUAACCUAAGUGAGGACAUGCAUGCCGUAGUCUUUAAUUAGAAUUCUAAGUCUUUAUAUUUAUACAUAUUUAAUAUACUUGUGGUUAAUGAUGAAGAAAAGAAACUUGUUGUCAAAUGUAUUAAAAUUUUAAUUUCUUUUAUAAAAUGUAGUACAAUGUUCGAUUGGUUAGAACUAUGUUUAUGCAUGUAUAACAUGAUUGAAGAUAAUUACUUUCAAAAUAUUUAAAAUGGUUGUCAUCAUGCAUGUUUACAUUUAAUUUAAAUUAUGAAAACAAAAUAUUAGAAAAAUGUGUCAUUGAGGUAGUUUUCUCUGAUACCAAGUGUAAUUUAUGACCUGAUUAAUAAAAUAUAUCUGCGGAUAUAGUAAUCUGUCCUUUAAACUUGCAUAGUUCUUGGUAGAUAUAAUAACAGUGACAAAUAUAAUCUCAGUACACCUUUCAGAUUGCAUGAUAAAUCAUUUUAAUUGGUGUACUAUAGAAUUGUUAGGAAUUUCACUAAAACUAGUGUUCAAAGUUCUAAAAAUAAAUAUAAAACCCAAUCUGUCAUUGAAUUCCCCACUUGUCUUUGAAUUAUACCAUCUUUAGGAAAUCGACACAAUAAGACUUGUGUUGGAGUUUAUUUUACUCACCACAGUGAACCUUUAUUUAUAAAGAAUUUGAAGAAUUAUUAACAUUCAUGCUACUAAUUCAUUCUUCUGAAUUAUUUAACAGAAAGCUGUUUCAAAUACUAAAAGUAAAUUUGAUGCCCAAUCUUUCAUUUGAUUCCUCAUUUCUCACUGAGUUAUACUGAUUUUGAAACAUUCCACCCGUCAUCAGUUUUUCUGGACAAGAGCAAAUUGAUACAAGUUUAGGCUUUUUCAUAGUGGUGGAGUGUAUAUGUACAGUGUUAAUAUAUUGGGCUUCAUAUUUAAUUUUAGUGUAUUAAAUAGCUUGUUUGCUGAAUGAUUCAGAAGAAAAAAUUAGUAUUGUUUGUUUGCAUUUUUGUCUUGUUGAAUUUCAUGCAAAGCUAUUGUGAGGAAUAUCUGCACUAGCUGUCCCUAAUUUUGAAGUGAUAGACUAGAGGAAAGACAACGAGUCAACACCACCAAUCUUGGGUUACUCAUUACCAACAAGUAGUGGAUUGACAUUAUAACACCACCAUGGCUGAAAGGGCAAGCAUGUUUGAUGACGUGUUUCAAUCCCUCGCUAGACUCGAUUUUAAGGAAAUUUCCAGAUUAUUUGUCAGACAACCUGACCUGUAUCAGACAUUGUUUGGAAGGCUUUAUUGGUGGUCUGAAUACAAAAACAUAAACCCUCAAGAAGUUGCAUUAUAUUAGAAAAAAAUAAACUCAAAUGAGGCUAAUAUUACUUAAUAUCUUAAGGAAAUAAACAUUCAAUGACCUGUAAAACUUUUAGACAGAACAGCGAUCUUGGCCAAUCACGUUCAGUGUUUUCAUUCUAACCAGCUUGACCUGCCACCAACUACAUUAAAGUAAAGCCUGUAGUAAGACUAGAUUUGCAUUGGAACUCUAAAACAUACUGCUAUAACAUUAUACGUACACAAUGCUUGGGUGCUGCAUAUGUACACACACGCACACAGCUGAUAUGUAUUGUCAUCCAUACUUGUAGUUUGUAUUGCCCUGGAGAGAGGCAAAGUUAGCCUUAUUUUAUUUAUUGUUAUUCUGUUUUGUACUGAUCAAACUUUCAUAAAAUUUUGUUUGCAGUUCUCAUUAUUAUGCUCUGUUUGAUUCAUGGAUUUUCAUGCUUUUCUCAUGGUAGCUAGGCCUUCCAUAUUUCCUAGACUCCAUUGCUAACGUAUAUGUCUAAUGUUAGUCUUAGGCCUAUACAUGCAUAAUUGAAAGGAUGUCAGUGUUUCAAUUGUGACGAUUAACGAUAAAAAUUUUGAGUUUGAUUUUAUAAAUUUGAUCGUUUUAGUUUCUACUGAUGGCUUAUCUGUAAGAAGUUGAGACAGCCUUGUUAGUUUUUUAUUGUCGUAAGCAUCCAUGCUAGAAAUUAAUCUCACUAAAUAUUCGUGUUAUCAGUGUUCAUUUUAGUUGCGAAUUCUUACCUCCACUAUAUAUGCAUACAAACAUCAUGCAGUACAAUGUGUGGUAAUGUAAAUAACUGAGCUGUAUACAUUGUACAAUGUUACCACAUACAGCCAUUCAUACUCAGUUGAACUCCAUACAAAAUUUACAUGCAUAAAGCAGCAUAGAAGUGUAGCUCGUCUACAACAAAGGGUUUAGGGACAAGAACAGCAUUAUCAGUCAAUCAUAAAAGGGAACUUUUCCUAACAUUUUCAGCCCCUUUUGGUGAAUUGUACCAACAUAUUUCUUGUACAAAGUACAAUCUUUUUUAAACAAAAAAAUGGACCAAAAGAUAUUUUUGUGAAGGGUUCAGAUUUUCUUAGUUUGUAGUUAGCAAAUUUCAUGAUAAUUUUGGUUGAGUAUUGGAGUCAACAUUAUGUGUGUAAUGUGAACAUGGAUAAGUGUACAGUAGACUGCGAUGCUGUUUCAAGUAAGGGUCUGUUCCAGGACACUAGUCGUACAAUUGGACAACAGGAGGGGUUUAAGUUGGUUGUCUGAGGAAGUUUUUAGUCAUCUCAGAUGACCGUUAAAAUUGCAAAUAAAGCCAAAACCCUCUAUAUACACAAAGCUUGAGACCAUGUGACUUUGAAGCCUUUUGACAUCACCUAAAGAGGCCCAAGAUGAAAUAAUGUAGAACUGUUUGAAAAUGUAUAUACUACUAAAUUAUCUUUUAAAGUAUAUAUUAUAAUUAUCUAUACAUUCAACCAUAGAACAAAAUAACUGUCGCAUAUUAAAAUUCUUUGCUUUUUUAGUAUGAUUUCUAAAUAUAACAGAUAACACAGAAGCAGUUCAGUGACAAAUACACUUUUUGUAUUAUAAAACUAUUUGAAAACAUUCUGAAUGAAAUAAAAUAAUCCAUAUUUGUAAAAAAAUUGUAUUUAGAAAUACCAUUUUAAUUAUUGCAAACCUGUGAAAUAAUAUGAUACACAACUACACAGAUUUCUAAGUUUAUAAAUUCCAGCUGGACAAUUGAAUUAGCUGUAAAGAAAAGCUACCACUAAGUGGAAAUACUUCAUUUGUAAAAAUUAUGAUUCUCUAAGUGUAAUUUAUAGUUUUGCACUUGCUAAUAAGUACUUAAUUUUGACUGAUAAUUUAGUAAUUUGUCUACUUUGGAUUUUGAAUAAUUGUUUAUAUAUGCAUUACCCAAUACUUUUUCCAUUUUUUUAAGUAAUUCCGUUGUAUAUUCACAUGAUUCACAGUGUAGGUCUCUGCUUAAACAAAAGUCUCUCUGUAUAAAACCAAUUGUAAUGUUAAAACAGUUGAAUUUUGACACUCAAAAACUGUUUUUCCAACUUGUCAGUUAUAAGUUUCUGAAAUACAGCACAGCAAAAUGCCCCUGUUUUUAUCACAAUUUCAAUAGAAUAUGUGAGAUCACCACGGUCACACAUUACAAUUAGUUUGCAACCCCAGCUGUUCUAAACAGUUGUGUUUUGUCUGUGACAAGCACACAAAUACAUGUGUUACAUACCAGUUUCAGUUUGAAGCAGACAUAUCCAACAAUGUAUAUUAUGAUGUUCAUUAUGUCUUGAUUGAAGGAAAAGUCAACAUUUGUAUUAGUACUCUCUUGAACAAGUUUAGCAUCAAUAGCAGUGAACUCAGUAGCACAAUAAACAUUGUUUGAGAACAAUACACAUAAAUCAUGCAAAGAUAUGUUACUAUAUUUGGAAGAUCUCAGCUGUAGGAGAUUUUACUUUAAGCGUUUUGUUUUUAAAUUUAAAAAUCUGUUGUAGUGAUAUAUUGUAGUUACUACCACUAAGUUGUCUGUAUUGACCAAAUCAAGUUUUUAACGUACUUGUCUUAAAUUUACCAAAUAAGACACACUUCCUAUGUAGUUCUGUUAGUACACAGUUGAUAAUAUAGGUUUUUUGUAGUAUGAAUAAUAGCCUCAAAUGUUUCUCUACUUAGACCUAGUUUAUAUUUACUAACAGCUACUGUCUGCCAAGAAAGAAACUUUCUGAGAAACUCAACCUGAGAAUCAUUAACAGAAAACACGGGAAACAUAUUCUGGUUCCUCUUUGUCAACCCUUUGUUGUGUGACUUUACAUUCACAAUUUUCUACCAGUCUAUAAUUGCUUUAAGAAACAAUGCAGUAUUUUCCCAUCCAGUAAAUAAAUCAGGAUACUGUAGUUCAAGCACUUUCAAAGCAUACAUGUUUGUUCUGUCAAACAAUUUUACAGCAAAACUUACAUUCUGCUUUUGAAUGUUUGAUGGAAACAAAACAUUUUGUGACAAUUUAUGUACAUAUUUAAUAAUUGUAUUUUGUUCAACUUUGUAGGUAUUUACAAGAUUCUGAUAAUUAGCAGGUACAUUUCUGAUAUUUUCAUCACCAGGAAAUGUAUAUUGAUUCACUUGUGAAAUCCAGUUAUUGUAUACGCACUUCAAAAUAUGGGCCAAGUCAAAUACUGGAAAAAGUGGCCUUUUCAACCCCCUUGGGUUACAAGCCAAUAUCUUUAAAAAUGUAGUAGUAGUUAGAAACAAGGAAUAAAAUAUCUUGAUUGUUUAUAUUGUUAUGUAUAAAAAUAGAAAUUAGUUUAUAUCCAACAUCUUAAAUUUUAAUGAUACAAAAUUUCAUAUGUUCAUGUAGUUCUUCUGCUGUCAGAUAUUUAACAAGAUAAAAUAUACUACAUUCUUAUGAUCUGAAAAUACAGAUUCCAACAUAACAAUGCAUACUGAAUCAGUCAAUUUAUCGUUGUCUUUCCCAAAAGUACCAAUAAGCUGACUACAUUUAUAUUCAGAAGUUCAUUAAAUAUGUAUCUCAUCAAGAAGAACAUUUACUAUUCUUUCUUUCUCAUUUAUCAUAGUCAUCUUCUGCUUUAAAUAAAGCAUGUACACUUCAUCAUUGCCAGAAGAACUCACUAGCAUCCAGGACUUGUAUGCUGCAGGAGACUGUAUAAAAAGUAUAUAUAUGCAAAGAGUGUAGUGUAAAAGUUUUAUCUAUAUCUAUUUGAGGAUAAAUUUAAUAUACUCAAAUUUGCUGCAAUAAAAAUUAUAUUAAUUUUAUCUGAGUAAUGUUAAUCUGAAGAUUCAUUAAUGAUACCAAUUACUUUAGUUUAACUUGCUGUGAAAUGUAAAUGAUGUACUUCAUGCCAUGCUUUUAUUUCAUUUAUCGUACAUCCACAUUGUGCCAGUUUAUUUCUGGGAAGCUUUAAGUUAUGGAUGUAUGUAAUAUAUUGUACAUUAAUAGUUAUCAUUAAAAAUCUUCGAAGUUCAGGUGGUCCUACAUUGUUAUUUAAAAAUAAUACAAGAGAAUUAACUAGACACGUUAUUUUUGUAAGACACAAUCUUCAAAAUGUCAUCAAAGUCUAAAACUGAAUUGUUUUCAAGUAUAAAUCUCGGAUCAUCUUGAAACUUUUUCUUCUAUAUCACCAGCUUUUUUAUCAGGAUCACUUCUUGCAACUGGUAGUUAGUAGUAAGAUAAGGUAAAUUAGUAAACAAAGUUGGAUAAGCAUCAUCAGUUAAUUUCAUCUUAUUUCUUUGAACACAAGUGUUUCCAUUUUCUGUUGGAAGUAUAUCACUGCAAAUAAAGUGAUUUUCAUAACCACAUUAUUAAUCAUUGGUAUGAAAUCCUUUCUUGGAAUUUUUCGUAGCCACAGUUGUUUCCUUCAUCUUUUGGAAAACUACACAUGUGAUGUACCCCUAUAAUUGCUUCUACAUUGUGGAACACACCACUUCCUUGGCAUUUUAUUCUUCUUAAACUCGGGCCUAACUAAGUUUUGUGGAAAGUUUAUAAUGAAAUUAGGAUAACUUCUGUUUACCAGAACUAUACUCAAAUCUAGUUUAGUUAUUUAAAAUAGUACACAAUUAAUUUUAAAAAUCUUUUGAUAAAUUCUGCUAUAAAAAUGUAACUCUUCCACGUAAUAAGAUCAAGAGUGCAAAUAUACAACUUUCUAUCAGUGGCUCUGACCUUUCCUGUUGUAUGGAAUCCAUUAAUAGUCAACUUUGUCAAAACUUGGGCCUCUUUUGAUGCACCCCUUGUCAAGUGAGUGCAAGAUUUGACUGUAGAGAGCUUUGGUCAAGUGCCCUAACCAUCAGACCCAUAAAUUAGUAGCAUGAAUGUUAUGUAUUCUUCAAAUCCUAUAUCAAUGUGGUGAGUAAAAGAUAAGUAAAAAUGACAUGCAUGUAGUUUUAAAGUAUCAAAUUUUGAGUGCCUGAAAGAUAAAUGUAAAUCAUUAAUAAUGAUAAUAAUAAUCAAAAGCAAAAUCUCAUUUUUUGAAAACUGAGUGAAAAUAGUUUUGUGAAGUUCAGGAAUUUUACCUUGAGUUUUGAAGAAAUAGUUCAGUAAAGAUUCAUUUAUGUUAUUUUAAAAUGUAAUGUUAAACAGAUACUCUGUCAUAAAAAAAUUCCAUUACAGCAAAUAUCAUUUUUAUGAAAUACAAUAUACAUCAUUUUGAAUUAUGUUACAGAAAAACUUUUAAUUUCUGUUUGCUCCUGGUGGCUUGGUGGUAAGUUUAAGAACUCCUAAUGCUAAAAAUAGUGUUUAGGUAUCCAAGGUGGGCACAGAACAGAUAAGUCCAUCAUAUGGCCUUGUGAAUAACAAACAAAAGUAUUUCUGUUGAUGCAUAUGUGCCAUUAAAUGGAUAAGGAGAGAUAAAAAAUAUUUAAUUCACACCAAAUACAUAAAAGUGAUGUCCUUUGAUAAUUUAUCCUAUUUUCUACUUUCAAAUGUUCUAUAUACUAUGCUACCUUUUUUUUUUUUGUACAUUUAUGCAUACCUUCCACCUUUUUGGAUGUUCAUCAUAGGCACAUUUUUCUAAGCAUGGUUUGGGUUAAUUCUGAUAUUAGUCUUUUUAGUUUUGAUUAAUUUCUAUACUUUGUGUAUUAUUUAAUUUUCUUAUUAUGACUUAAUGUAAUGCCUUACAGUGUUAGCUAAUAUAGGUUGUUUUUUUUUGGAAAUUUUUGUAAUAAAAUUUUAAAACAUGGUAUGUAAUGAAAAAGCUUUUUAACCAUGGGAAAGAAAAAAUAUCAUUUGCUUAAUUAAUGUAAGUUAUCUGUGAUUACUGUUUAAGUUCCUGUUGUUUUUUUAUAAUUUUUUUUUAUAAAUAUUAUUUGAACAUGUGGCUUUUUCAUGUAAAACAUGUGGAUUCAUUCUGAAUUUUAAUUUGUGGAGCUUUAAUAGCCAUAAAUGAGACAAAUGUGAAAUGCAAUAAAGUUGACUCACAAGUCUAUUAGUAAGAAAUUAGAGCUUAAUAAGAAUAAAGAAACAAUAUAAUUUCAGACUGCUAAUUCUAAUCCUUUAAUUAUUACACAUCCUAAGCACAUGUAUUUGAAACAAUUACAAAAAAUUGGUGAGAUUUUUUGUGUGAAUGCAGGAAUUACCUGUAAAUCUUGGUUAUUGAAAUAAACCUGGUUUUUGUGUGCU